rnacentral:lncRNA from 1 species
CAAAAUAACCAGACAAACUACAUAUACCUGAAACUCAGAGAACGAACAUCACCUCUAGAUACAACCUGUCACAGCAGUACUCCUAAAAAUGUUUACAUCUAUUUAAGCUUGAAGUUCCAAAGUGUUCAAACCAUUUUGUCUGUCCAUUGUAAACUUUGGCUCUGCCCCUCUGAGAAACGGAUGGGGUCCCCUCUGCUAAACAAUCAACCCAAAGUAGCGGCUCUCGCCCAGGGUGCCAAGGCGGGGUGAGCAGGAGACCCUCUUCGCCGGCGACCCUGCUGCCGCUGCCCCUUAAAACCCGAAGGGUACAGCCUGACCCUAACGGGGACGUCCUUCCAUUCGCAAAGAGGGCGCCCCGCCGAACGAAGGCGCUCCAGUUAGGCAACAGCAGCGGAGGAACCACGGCUUCGCGCCGCCCCCCUCCACCCCCACUUGCCUCUUCCCAUUCUCCCGCGUUAAGCAUGUGCGAAGACCGGCUUGGCCCCCCAGUCCUCGGAGGUCCUCAUUAGGCAACAGCAGCGGAGGAACCAGGGCUUCGCGCCGCCCCCCUCCGCCCCCACUUGCCUCUUCCCAUUCUUAAGCAUGUGCGAAGACCCGCUUGGCCCCCCAGUCCUCGGAGGUCCUCACAAUCCCGAUUCCUGCCUGCCCCCGUUCCCAAGGCCCUGAGAAAAGGCCCUACGACUCGGGCCAAAGGGGACCCGAGCGAGGCCGCCGCUGGGUUUCCGGAGGCCCAGCCCGGACGGCAGCCAACGACACCUCCCUCUUCGCCGUCCAGGCCUCCCUCAUCUUCGGACGAUCCCCGCCCUCCCGGGCGAAGCGCUCCCAGAGACAGAUGGCGGCGGAUAGAAACCAAGACACUUACUGUCCACGGCGAGCAGGUCGCAAGAUGGCUGCAGAAAGAGAGCGAGAGGCGGGGGAGAAAGGCAACUUCCGGGCUGAGGGAGAACAGCUUCCGGGUCCCUCCGGGGGGGGCCUUGGCGCGUCAGCCCGCUGCGCCUCCUUCCUCUUGGGCGUCGCGUUCGGCGAGGCGGCCCUCGGUGUUUCAGGGCGAGGGCGGGAGAGGGGGAAGAACCUCCGCGACGCCCAGAGGGCCGCCUCCUGUGGGCCCGGUGCCGCGGGGGAGCCGGGGAGAGGGAGCCGGUUGGGUAGUAAGUGCAGAGAAUGAAUGCCAGGGCUUGCCAGGAGUGUCGCGAACCGGAGCACAAGGGCUUGCCGAAGCCUCGAGGCGCCUGUCGCCCGAGCACAACCGGCGGAACUCAGGGGGGGCUUCCGUCGGAGUGGAGGGCGUGGAUACGAUUGCGUUGGGACAGCUCCGUGGUGUCUCAGAGGGCUUACGUUGCGAGCCGAUGUUGUCUUAUGAGAUUGCAUUCAUUUUGUCCUGGCUUUUUUUAAAAACUUGGCAUGAUGUCCAAAAUGGAAGACUAAAAGCUUUCAAGAACUGCUUGUGGUAA